rnacentral:misc_RNA from 1 species
UACGUGAGCCCCAAGCGUUAUCCGGAAUCACUGGGCGUAAAGGGUGCGUAGGCGGCCGUAUUAGUCUUCUGUCAAAGCUCCCGGCUUAACCGGGAAUCCGCAGAAGAAACGGUACGGCUUGAGGGUGUCAGAGGUCUGUGGAACUCACGGUGUAGGGGUGGAAUCCGUUGAUAUCGUGGGGAACACCAAAAGCGAAGGCAACAGACUGGGACACUCCUGACGCUGAGGCACGAAAGCGUGGGUAGCGAAUGGG